rnacentral:tRNA from 1 species
GGGGAUUUAGCUCAGCGGCAUAAGCACCUGCCUUGCAAGCAGGCGGUUGUGAGUUAAGUCCCCG